rnacentral:rRNA from 1 species
UACGUAGGGGGCAAGCGUUGUCCGGAUUUAUUGGGCGUAAAGAGCGUGUAGGCGGCCAGGUAGGUCGGUUGUGAAAACUAGAGGCUCAACCUCUAGACGUCGACCGAAACCACUUGGCUAGAGUCCGGAAGAGGAGAGUGGAAUUCCUGGUGUAGCGGUGAAAUGCGCAGAUAUCAGGAAGAACACCCGUGGCGAAAGGCGGCUCUCUGGGGACGGUACUGA